rnacentral:rRNA from 1 species
UACAGAGGGGGCAAGCGUUGUUCGGAAUUACUGGGCGUAAAGGGCGCGUAGGUGGCCUUCUAAGUUGAACGUGAAAUCCCUGGGCUCAACCCAGGAACUGCGUCCAAGACUGGGAGGCUUGAAUCCGGGAGAGGGAUGCGGAAUUCCAGGUGUAGCGGUGAAAUGCGUAGAUAUCUGGAGGAACACCGGUGGCGAAGGCGGCAUCCUGGACCGGUAUUGACGCUGAGGCGCGAAAGCGUGGGGAGCAAACAGG